rnacentral:sRNA from 1 species
AAGGAUGAGAAGCUUCGACUAAGGUUCGACUCGAGCGAAGCGAGAGAACGUUGCCGCAGGCAACGGCCCGAAGGGCGAAGCGCUUUAGCGCCGAGUAAUCCUUCCCCCACCACUG